CAGCCUCCACCUGGUUUCUUGGAACACAUUUUCUUGGAGAAGCCAGACAACUUGGUAAAAUUCUGACUACCCUGAGACCACCAUGCUGUGAAGAAGUCCAAGCUGGCUGCAUGGGGAGAGAUGCCCAGUCAGUCACCAGCUGCUCCAGGCAUCCACCUGAAGCACCAGACAUGAGAGUGAAAAAGCAGAUUUGACUGAGGAGUGUUAGUGAAUGCUUACCAAAUUGCCUCAGCAUCAGAGUCAGCCACAAAGUUUAAAAUCUGCGGGAAAUCUCAAGACCAGGGGAGAGGGUCCCCAGAGGACCCCAGUGUGCAGCCCACUGUGGGAACCAUGGACUUGGCCAUACGAAGGCUUGUAGGAAAGUCAUACCUCCCGAGCCAAGGAACAUCCAGGACAUUAAUGAUGGUUCAGAGAAGAAAACAAUGACAAAAUUGCCCGAGGAUGAGCCACUGCUGAGGGACAAGAGAGAUCCUUAUGCUGCAGGAGAUUCUCCUGAAAUCGCAAUCAUUCUUUGCCUAAGGAUGUCCAAGUACCACGCUUCCUUCCCUCCUCCCUAAAUCCUCCUCCUCAACUUUUGUUUCUUUGGAACAACAUCAUUCACAACUCCCAGCAUUAUUUGUGACAUCCGGUGGUAGGCAACUCAGCCUGUGAGUCAUGCUCCAGCGAGACAUAUGCUCCAACACCAUUAUGAAAUGACGAGCAUCCCACCGUCACACGAACCUUUAUUUGCAGAUUAAACAGGAAGCUUUCUCCAGAGGCUUCUAAAUCAACACAGCAAACGGUUAUCGGCGAUUGGCAU
rnacentral:lncRNA from 1 species